GAUGAAGAACGCAGCGAAAUGCGAUAAGUAAUGCGAAUUGCAGAAUUUCCGUGAGUCAUCGAAUCUUUGAACGCACAUUGCGCCCCCUGGUAUUCCGGGGGCAUGCCUGUCCGAGCGUCAUUGCUGCCCUCAAGCACGGCUUGUGUGUUGGGCCUCCGUCCUCCUCCCGGGGGACGGGCCCGAAAGGCAGCGGCGGCACCGCGUCCGGUCCUCGAGCGUAUGGGGCUUCGUCACCCGCUCUUGUAGGCCCGGCCGGCGCUUGCCGACACAUCAAUCUUUUUUCCAGGUUGACCUCGGAUCAGGUAGGGAUACCCGCUGAACUUAAGCAUAUCAAUAAGCGGAGGA
rnacentral:misc_RNA from 1 species